UACGUAGGGUGCGAGCGUUAAUCGGAAUUACUGGGCGUAAAGCGUGCGCAGGCGGUUUUGUAAGCCAGAUGUGGAAUCCCCGGGCUCAACCUGGGAACUUCAUUUGGGACUACAAGGCUAGAGUGUGUCAGAGGGGGGUAGAAUUCCACGUGUAGCAGUGAAAUGCGUAGAGAUGUGGAGGAAUACCGAUGGCGAAGGCAGCACCCUGGGUCGACACUGACGCUCAUGCGCGAAAGCGUGGGGAGCAAACAGG
rnacentral:rRNA from 1 species